rnacentral:rRNA from 1 species
UACGUAGGGUGCGAGCGUUGUCCGGAAUUACUGGGCGUAAAGAGCUCGUAGGCGGUUUGUCGCGUCGUCCGUGAAAACUUGGGGCUCAACCCCAAGCUUGCGGGCGAUACGGGCAGACUUGAGUACUGCAGGGGAGACUGGAAUUCCUGGUGUAGCGGUGAAAUGCGCAGAUAUCAGGAGGAACACCGGUGGCGAAGGCGGCAUCCUGGACCAACACUGACGCUGAGGAGCGAAAGCCAGGGGAGCAAACGGG